CCCUUAGAUGUUCUGGGCCGCACGCGCGCUACACUGACCAGUGCAACAAGCAUCCGUCCUUGGCCGACAGGCUCGGGCAAUCUUUGAACGCUGGUCGUGAUGGGGAUAGACUUUUGCAAUUUUUGGUCUUCAACGAGGAAUUCCUAGUAAACGCAAGUCAUCAACUUGCAUUGAUUACGUCCCUGCCCUUUGUACACACCGCCCGUCGCACCUACCGAUUGAAUGGUCCGGUGAAGCCUCCGGAUUGGCGCGCACCUCGGUGCCGCCGAGAAGUUGGCUAAACCUUACCAUUUAGAGGAAGGUGAAGUCGUANCA
rnacentral:rRNA from 1 species